UGGGGAAUUUUGGACAAUGGGGGAAACCCUGAUCCAGCCAUCCCGCGUGUGCGAUGAAGGCCUUCGGGUUGUAAAGCACUUUUGGCAGGAAAGAAACGUCAUGGGUUAAUACCCCGUGAAACUGACGGUACCUGCAGAAUAAGCACCGGCUAACUACGUGCCAGCAGCCGCGGUAAUACGUAGGGUGCAAGCGUUAAUCGGAAUUACUGGGCGUAAAGCGUGCGCAGGCGGUUCGGAAAGAAAGAUGUGAAAUCCCAGAGCUCAACUUUGGAACUGCAUUUUUAACUACCGGGCUAGAGUGUGUCAGAGGGAGGUGGAAUUCCGCGUGUAGCAGUGAAAUGCGUAGAUAUGCGGAGGAACACCGAUGGCGAAGGCAGCCUCAAGGAAUAACACUGACGAUCAUGCACGAAAGCGUGGGGAGCAAACAGG
rnacentral:rRNA from 1 species